rnacentral:rRNA from 1 species
GCAAAACGCGAAGAACCUUACCUGGGCUUGACAUGCUGGGAAAAGCCACAGAGAUGUGGUGUCCUUCGGGGCCCAGCACAGGUGGUGCAUGGCUGUCGUCAGCUCGUGUCGUGAGAUGUUGGGUUAAGUCCCGCAACGAGCGCAACCCUUGUCCUAUGUUGCCAGCGGGUAAUGCCGGGGACUCGUAGGAGACCGCCGGGGUCGAACUCGGAGGAAGGUGGGGACGACGUCAAGUCAUCAUGCCCCUUAUGUCCAGGGCUGCAAACAUGCUACAAUGGCCGGUACAAAGGGCUGCUAUACCGCGAGGUUGAGCGAAUCCCAUAAAGCCGGUCUCAGUUCGGAUUGAAGUCUGCAACUCGACUUCAUGAAGCCGGAGUCGCUAGUAAUCCCGGAUCAGCAACGCCGGGGUGAAUACGUU